CGUGCCAGCAGCCGCGGUAAUACGUAGGUGGCAAGCGUUGUCCGGAUUUAUUGGGCGUAAAGCGCGCGCAGGUGGUUUCUUAAGUCUGAUGUGAAAGCCCACGGCUCAACCGUGGAGGGUCAUUGGAAACUGGGAGACUUGAGUGCAGAAGAGGAUAGUGGAAUUCCAAGUGUAGCGGUGAAAUGCGUAGAGAUUUGGAGGAACACCAGUGGCGAAGGCGACUGUCUGGUCUGUAACUGACACUGAGGCGCGAAAGCGUGGGGAGCAAACAGGAUUAGAUACCCUGGUAGUCCACGCCGUAAACGAUG
rnacentral:rRNA from 1 species